CCCCCUGUCACGCUUCCUGGUUUCAAAAGGAUUUCUCCUAGUAGUACAAGUUAAGGACAGUUCUUAGAAGGGCUGUGUGCGCAUAAUGUGGUUCAAGAUUCACAGCCAUGAUACAAUAUGCUAAAAGUUCAAUGACAACAAAUGUUAGGCCUGUACAGAUUAAUCCUUAGGCACAAAGCAAGUUUAAGCAAUACCACAUCCACGCUGCAGCCAUUUUCGUCUGAUGUCACGCUCCAGGCGGGAAGCUCAAACGUUGGGACGCCAUGGAACUUUUGAGCUCCAGGUUGUCAGGGACCCAAACUUUGUUAUCUGACGGAUUGCUAUCAUUUCACCGCCUCCCAGCUGAUCAGCGGCAGAAUAAACGGUGGACAGUAAACACAUCAUUCCAUAUUUUAAGAUAACACCCAACACCAAGGUGUUUUGCAAGCACUUCAGCAGUGAAUGUUUAGUGCCAGCUCCCAGGAGGUAUCCUCCAGCAGUUUGUGUGGGUGGCUUGGUGGUGGAUAAAGAUACAGGAAGAAGGUGAGCCUCUGUGGUGAAGAUGUAGUCAUCGAUAUCUAUGGGAAGCUCACUCUUCUCCGAAAACAGCAGGUAGAGGUAUUUAAACAUCUCAGCCAGAAAAAACGAGUCCAUCCUACACACAAGUAUAAACAUGCAUAUACAGAGAAAAAUGUGUUAUUAAGCAUUCAUGGAAGAUACAAGUAUUUUUUAGUUGCACUAUAACAGUUAUUUUAUCAUCAGACAGGUUUUAGCAGACUAGUUUUAAAUAAUAUCAGUGUAGACCUGUCUCGCAGCGUUUUUAUACCUGUCCUCAUGCAUCCCUGUUCGAACAUCUUGCACAGCAGCAAACCCGCAAGGCACCCUGGCAUAGGCAUUGAGCUUUUCCACAAUGGACUGUCCCACUCUGAGGUAGUAGGGGUCGCCAGUGGCCUGCAGAGAUAAAGAUAAUAUCUCAACCACACAUCUCACAUGGAACAUUCAGUUUGCUCAGUGUAAUGGUGGUGUCGCAUCAAUAAUUAGCCUACUUAUAAAUGACCUGGAGUGUCGUAUUUUUAGAAAAAGGGAAUUACAGUGUGUGCCUUUUGGUUUUUCACCUUAUAGAGGUAGUAGGUGCUUUCCGCAAACUCUGGUCUCAGUAGGUGUUGGCCCCAAUGAACUCUAAACUCUGUAGUGAAAGCCUGCAGGGAGUUUAAUCAAAGACGAGAUGAUGAGAUGAGAUGAGAAACAAUAAAUACUUUAUCUUGCCAACACACGCCUACUUUAUGUAACUGAAGACAGCA